GCCCGCCUAGCUCAUCGGUAGAGCGCGUCACUAGUACGCCUAAAUGACGAGGUGACUGGUUCGAUUCCAGUGGUGGGCA
rnacentral:tRNA from 1 species